GGAUCAAUUAAUCGGUCGUACCUAUGGUACGUACUGAUUUUAUUGGUUUCUCCCUUCUGACGAACCAUGAUGUCAUUAAUUUGGUGUCGUGGAGAAUCAGGACUGUUACUUUGAAAAAUUAGAGUGUUUAAAGCUGAAUACAUUAGCAUGGAAUAAUGAAAUAGGGCGUUUGAUCCUAUUUUGUUGGUUUCUAGGAUCGACGUAAUGAUUAAUAGGGAUAGU
rnacentral:rRNA from 1 species